rnacentral:rRNA from 1 species
GACGAACGCUGGCGGCGUGCUUAACACAUGCAAGUCGAACGGGAGUAUCGAAGAAGCUUGCUUUUAAGAUACUUUAGUGGCGGACGGGUGAGUAACGCGUGAGGAGCUGUCCUAUGCAGGGGGACAACAGUUGGAAACGACUGCUAAUACCCCAUAAGCCGAGAGGUAAAAGGAUUUAUCCGGCAAAGGAGGUACUCGCGUCCUAUCAGCUAGUAGGUGAGGUAACGGCUCACCUAGGCGAAGACGGGUAGCCGGCCUGAGAGGGCGAACGGCCACACUGGAACUGAGAUACGGUCCAGACUCCUACGGGAGGCAGCAGUGGGGAAUAUUGGGCAAUGGGGGCAACCCUGACCCAGCGACGCCGCGUGGGUGAAGAAAUCCUUCGGGAUGUAAAGCCCUGUUGUAUGGGAAGAGCAGAAGACGGUACCAUACGAGGAAGCCCCGGCAAACUACGUGCCAGCCGCCGCCGUAAUAC